CUUCAUUCACGCGCCGCACGCAAGCCCAUUGACGACACGUUGUUUUCACACUGUAAGCACCAGUAAGCCAGACCGACUGGCGUUACGGCCGCCUUCACCACAAGCAACUAAACAAAUGCGAAGCCCAGGGUGCUUCAGUGCGACACACCCUAGCCCACCAACUCUGUGACGGACACCCCACCAAAAAGGCAGGGGAAGAGAGGCGUCAAAGCCGCCAGCGCAGCUGCGUUCCACAAGGGAAGCGAACGAAUCUCCUGAACGCCAAGCCCCCGCACACGAGGGUAAUGCAGCAGCCACGCCCCCGCAAGCGGCAACGAGAGCCAGCGGCAGUCGAAAGCCAUCCUGAUGAGCAGGAAGGUUCGCUUGUUGGUGCCCAGCAUGGACCGCGAGCAUGGGGCGCAUUACAUGGUAGUCGGCGGGGUCGAGUCCCUGCCGCAUUACGGCACCACGGAACCGACUACUCGAGAGAAAGGCAAACGUCGCGCAUCUUGUACAGCUUCUCGGCGGUAGCGCACGCAACGGUGGCAAGCGCGCCGUGGAGGAACCCGUGUCGACGUGGUUUCGGUGUCUAUCGCGCAUAAAAAGGUCAUCUAACUGGCUCUCGUCACAACUGUGGCCUUGCAUGCUCGUUCGUGGGCGAGGAAAUCGCAUUGAUGCAAUGCUGCCGCGGUCACACGAGCGUUGGCAACGACGCUGAGAAGCUCGCAAUAUGUGCGUUGUGAGAGCGGACACCAGCCGCAUAGCUUACAGGGACUGCUGUCGUCCCAAAACGCCGAAACCAUACCCUAUCAUCCACACCGCGGGUGCCGCAGCUACGAUCCUUGGGCGCGGGGUCCUUUUGGUGCACUAGAUGGAUUGGUGCACGGAGCGAGCUCUAAUCUUUGCUGCGUCGACUCAGCAGCUUGCAGGAAGAAAUGAGGCAGGGCAAGAUAUAGUGAGACGCACUGUCUCAUGCGGCGGCGGAUGGUUUGUCAUAAACACCUGGGAUUGCGGCGCGUUGCUGCGACGGCACUGAAACUGCGGUUGUUUCCGUGAAGGUGGUCGUGGGUUGGUGCGUGAAAGAAGCAAACAAGCGACCAAGGCGGACGAAGGUCGUAAGGCUUCUGAGCUGCGUGAUGUGGGGAGAACGCUGACCACCAUUGCCAGCGACAGACUUGCAGCGGCUGCGCGAGGUGUGGACGUGUUUGUUCUUGAAUGGUGGUUAGGGGGGGGGGGCUCUAGGUUUCGCGUGUUUUGCCGACUUUCGGCGUGGCCGAGCCCAGUGGAGCCGGUGGGGGUCCACGGGCGUCUAUGGCGCCACGGUCCGGAAAACCCCAGGGGGCUGCUGAAUAAAAUUGGCAGCGAGGAGGGGGUAGUGGUGGCCAGCAGGUUCGGAGGAAGAGUGCGGGCGGAAAGCUUCAUGGCGGCUGACGUGGGUGCACCGCCUAUGUGUCUGCACAGAGCAUCUAUGAUGUGCUGGCGGUGACUUGAGGUGAGGCAACUUGUGUGAUCGAUUUUUCGGCGCUUUUAUAAUGGUAGCAGAAAACAGUGAAAACGGUGAAGGGUGUGGGAAAGAAUGGGGGUACAAGUAUAUCGCUCUCAUGGAAAUCACCUUCAGCAAUCAAAAAGGGAGAGAACGAUUUCACAAAAUAAGGGCAUGAUGAUGCAUUCCAAUACAUGCGCCUCGUUCUUCCCAGCUGGCGAGUUUUUGUAUCACUGAUCAAGAAUAUACCAAGCUGCUAUGCUUCGCCUUAAUCUCACGAUAAUACUACGCAAGAAUACGAAGACCUACCUUUUUUUUUCCUCCAUUCAAG
rnacentral:misc_RNA from 1 species